GCUCGUCGGUGUGGGGUUCGAGGCGGUUGAGUGAGACGAGACGCGCCCCUCCCACGCGGGGAAGGGCGCCCGCCUGGUCCGGCGAGCGCACGUCCGGUGCUCCCCUCUGGCGGGUGCGCACGGGCCCUGUGAGCGAUCGCGGUGGGCUUGGGCUGGUGACGCGUGCGCCGGCCGGCCGCCGAGGGGCUACCGUUCUGCCUCCGACCGGUCGUGUGUGGGUUUACUCGGAGAAAUACUAGGCUUUAGAAUUUCACCAUAUGAAUUUUGGGAGAGAGGAGCACAGUUCAGCCCAUAACUAACACACGGUAACAAGACAAAUCUCUCCUCUGCCUUCUCCUUAUCAGACUACUCAACAUGAAGGCAAUAAGAAUGAAGACCUCUAUGUAUAAUAAUUGACUUCCACUUAAUAAAUACCUGAACAGAUGUUGAGUACAAGCUGAUCCACCUACGUUCAACCUGAGAGAGUCCACAUCCACAGACUGUUUCAUUUCCCUUUUUCAAUUUACAUAGAAGCAUAGAUUCUUGCUGGCAUAUACAAAUGCGCCAUUUAAGGCAAUCAAAAAUGGUUCCACAUCUCAUCUGAUUUCCACAAUUGUUGCUGUAACGAUGGACUACUGAGGAGAGAGACAAUUUCUCUGGCACAUCUUCCCACAUUUUAGCAACAUGUUCAUGGAGAGCCAAUAUUCAGUAAUUACAGCCCAAUUCCUCACAAUUUCACAAUUCGCUAACAAUAUGCAUUUUCACAAUGUAAAGCUGAUUUUCCUUUAACCAAAUCAAACAUGAAAAGAUAGCUGCAUGCAAUGGGCAAUCUAGAUCAUUAGAAGAUUGAUGUAAAAUUAGAGGACACUGAGACUGGAAUAGAUUGCAAACUUCAGGGAGCUCAGAAAACUUGUAAACUCUACAUUUUGAGGAAAUAUGUUGUCGAUGCUUUUGCAACUCUAUGCAGUAACUUAACAAAUAAAGCCUUAAAGUAACUUAUCUACGAGUUACUUUGUCAUUAU
rnacentral:lncRNA from 10 species